GACGAACGCUGGCGGCGUGCUUAACACAUGCAAGUCGAACGGAAAGGGCCGGUUCUUGUGGGGUGUUCGAGUGGCGAACGGGUGAGUAACACGUGUGUAACCUGCGCUUGACUUUGGGAUAACUUCAGGAAACUGGGGUUAAUAUCGGAUAUGAGCUCCUUCAGCAUGGGGGGGGUGGGAAAAUGUCGGCGUUUGGGGAUGGACACGCGGCUUAUCAGCUUGUUGGUUGGGUAGUGGCUUACCAGGGCUUUGACGGGUAGCCGGCCUGAGAGGGUGACCGGCCACAUUGGGCCUGAGGUACGGCCCAGACUCCUACGGGAGGCAGCAGUGGGGAAUAUUGCACACUGCGCGGAAGCCUGAUGCAGCAACGCCGCGUGCGGGAUGACGGCCUUCGGGUUGUAACCCGCUUUCGCCUGUGACGAAGCGUGAGUGACGGUAAUGGGUAAAGAAGCACCGGCUAACUACGUG
rnacentral:rRNA from 1 species